GGGUUGUGAGGUUAAGCGACUAAGCGUACACGGUGGAUGCCCUGGCAGUCAGAGGCGAUGAAGGACGUGCUAAUCUGCGAAAAGCGUCGGUAAGGUGAUAUGAACCGUUAUAACCGGCGAUGUCCGAAUGGGGAAACCCAGUGCAAUUCGUUGCACUAUCGUUAACUGAAUACAUAGGUUAACGAGGCGAACCGGGGGAACUGAAACAUCUAAGUACCCCGAGGAAAAGAAAUCAACCGAGAUUCCCCCAGUAGCGGCGAGCGAACGGGGAGCAGCCCAGAGUCUGAAUCAGCUUGUGUGUUAGUGGAACGGUCUGGAAAGUCCGACGGUACAGGGUGAUAGUCCCGUACACCAAAAUGCACAGGUUGUGAACUCGAAGAGUAGGGCGGGACACGUGGUAUCCUGUCUGAAUAUGGGGGGACCAUCCUCCAAGGCUAAAUACUCCUGACUGACCGAUAGUGAACCAGUACCGUGAGGGAAAGGCGAAAAGAACCCCGGCGAGGGGAGUGAAAAAGAACCUGAAACCGUGUACGUACAAGCAGUGGGAGCACCUUCGGGUGUGACUGCGUACCUUUUGUAUAAUGGGUCAGCGACUUAUAUUCUGUAGCAAGGUUAACCGUAUAGGGGAGCCGCAGGGAAACCGAGUCUUAACUGGGCGUUAAGUUGCAGGGUAUAGACCCGAAACCCGGUGAUCUAGCCAUGGGCAGGUUGAAGGUUGGGUAACACUAACUGGAGGACCGAACCGACUAAUGUUGAAAAAUUAGCGGAUGACUUGUGGCUGGGGGUGAAAGGCCAAUCAAACCGGGAGAUAGCUGGUUCUCCCCGAAAGCUAUUUAGGUAGCGCCUCGUGAACUCAUCUUCGGGGGUAGAGCACUGUUUCGGCUAGGGGGUCAUCCCGACUUACCAACCCGAUGCAAACUACGAAUACCGAAGAAUGUUAUCACGGGAGACACACGGCGGGUGCUAACGUCCGUCGUGAAGAGGGAAACAACCCAGACCGCCAGCUAAGGUCCCAAAGUCAUGGUUAAGUGGGAAACGAUGUGGGAAGGCACAGACAGCCAGGAUGUUGGCUUAGAAGCAGCCAUCAUUUAAAGAAAGCGUAAUAGCUCACUGGUCGAGUCGGCCUGCGCGGAAGAUGUAACGGGGCUAAACCAUGCACCGAAGCUGCGGCAGCGACACUAUGUGUUGUUGGGUAGGGGAGCGUUCUGUAAGCCUGCGAAGGUGACCUGUGAGGGUUGCUGGAGGUAUCAGAAGUGCGAAUGCUGACAUAAGUAACGAUAAAGCGGGUGAAAAGCCCGCUCGCCGGAAGACCAAGGGUUCCUGUCCAACGUUAAUCGGGGCAGGGUGAGUCGACCCCUAAGGCGAGGCCGAAAGGCGUAGUCGAUGGGAAACAGGUUAAUAUUCCUGUACUUGGUGUUACUGCGAAGGGGGGACGGAGAAGGCUAUGUUAGCCGGGCGACGGUUGUCCCGGUUUAAGCAUGUAGGCUGGUUGUCCAGGCAAAUCCGGAUAAUCAAGGCUGAGGUGUGAUGACGAGGCACUACGGUGCUGAAGUAACAAAUGCCCUGCUUCCAGGAAAAGCCUCUAAGCAUCAGGUAACAUCAAAUCGUACCCCAAACCGACACAGGUGGUCAGGUAGAGAAUACCAAGGCGCUUGAGAGAACUCGGGUGAAGGAACUAGGCAAAAUGGUGCCGUAACUUCGGGAGAAGGCACGCUGGUGUGUAGGUGAAGUCCCUGCGGAUGGAGCUGAGACCAGUCGAAGAUACCAGCUGGCUGCAACUGUUUAUUAAAAACACAGCACUGUGCAAACACGAAAGUGGACGUAUACGGUGUGACGCCUGCCCGGUGCCGGAAGGUUAAUUGAUGGGGUUAUCCGUAAGGAGAAGCUCUUGAUCGAAGCCCCGGUAAACGGCGGCCGUAACUAUAACGGUCCUAAGGUAGCGAAAUUCCUUGUCGGGUAAGUUCCGACCUGCACGAAUGGCGUAAUGAUGGCCAGGCUGUCUCCACCCGAGACUCAGUGAAAUUGAACUCGCUGUGAAGAUGCAGUGUACCCGCGGCAAGACGGAAAGACCCCGUGAACCUUUACUAUAGCUUGACACUGAACAUUGAGCCUUGAUGUGUAGGAUAGGUGGGAGGCUUUGAAGCGUGGACGCCAGUCUGCGUGGAGCCAACCUUGAAAUACCACCCUUUAAUGUUUGAUGUUCUAACGUUGGCCCCUGACCGGGGUUGCGGACAGUGUCUGGUGGGUAGUUUGACUGGGGCGGUCUCCUCCCAAAGCGUAACGGAGGAGCACGAAGGUUAGCUAAUCCUGGUCGGACAUCAGGAGGUUAGUGCAAUGGCAUAAGCUAGCUUGACUGCGAGCGUGACGGCGCGAGCAGGUGCGAAAGCAGGUCAUAGUGAUCCGGUGGUUCUGAAUGGAAGGGCCAUCGCUCAACGGAUAAAAGGUACUCCGGGGAUAACAGGCUGAUACCGCCCAAGAGUUCAUAUCGACGGCGGUGUUUGGCACCUCGAUGUCGGCUCAUCACAUCCUGGGGCUGAAGUAGGUCCCAAGGGUAUGGCUGUUCGCCAUUUAAAGUGGUACGCGAGCUGGGUUUAGAACGUCGUGAGACAGUUCGGUCCCUAUCUGCCGUGGGCGCUGGAGAAUUGAGGGGGGCUGCUCCUAGUACGAGAGGACCGGAGUGGACGCAUCACUGGUGUUCGGGUUGUCAUGCCAAUGGCACUGCCCGGUAGCUAAAUGCGGAAGAGAUAAGUGCUGAAAGCAUCUAAGCACGAAACUUGCCCCGAGAUGAGUUCUCCCUGAGACUUUAAGUCUCCUGAAGGAACGUU
rnacentral:rRNA from 1 species